GAUCCCCCCAAGUGGAGGGGAUAGCGAUAUUGCAUAUAUCCAGCCAAUCUUUCGUUGCUUUCCUGUAAAUAAAAAUUGUUCAAAUUGUCGUUUUCAACUCGUUUUCAACGUAUCGUUUUCGAAUCGCUGUUAAAUGACCAAAGGAAAGUCUCCGGAGGGGAAAUACAUUUACGUACGCGCGGGUUGGUCCCUUUCGCACUACAUAUUCGGCUAGGGUUCGCUCGGGUAGUACCUGUAGUACAGCACAGAUAAAGAAGUUACAAAAAAUAUAUACUGAUCGAAUUGAGUAACCUCCUCCUUUUCGAAGUCGGUUAAAAAAGCGAUCUUCACCAUUUCCUUCAUGAUUUUUUUAUUUCUAAUAUUUUAGUUUUACAAGAUAUGCAAUACCAAUAUAUACUCUUAAUGUUUAUUAUUGUUAUCACAUACAUAUGUAUGUGAAUCCUUAUCCUUAUCCUUAUCCUUACUAAUAUAUAAAAGUGAAAAUGCUGAUCGUUUGUCCUUCCUUCACGUUUAAACGGCUAAACAGAUUUUAAUGAAAUUUGCACUAUUGGACAGCUUAUUCUU